rnacentral:lncRNA from 1 species
AACCAUAAACUCCAAUAAUAAAAAUGUAAGCAAACAAAAAUCAUGAAGAAACAUUCAAAACCACAACAAAAUUGAACUACCAGGCCCAGAAAAAACACAACAUAAAAUAUUAUUUACAAAAUUUAAGGUAAAUUGACAAAAUAACAAAGUGAAUAAACUAAAAUAAAUAAGUAAAAACAAAAACAGUAACAUCUUAGUUUAAAAAUUAACAAAAAAAUAAAUAAAAGAAAUUAUAUGCAUGAAAGUGGGAAACGUGAAAAC